UUUUUCUUCAGGGCAUUCCUGGAGAUCCUGGACACAGACGAAUGCCAGGACACAGGGGAGACAUGGUAAUCUUAACAAUACAACUAGCAACUUGUUAUACAAAUGUUCUCCUAGUGGUUAAUGCACAUUCAAGGCUCAGUAUUGUCUACCAUCUGAGAUCUCCUAGUCUUCUCUGAAGUUUUAUUCUAAGCAGCUAAAUGUAUGAAUCAUGCCUGGUGUUAUGUCUGUGCCAGGGUAACCCUGGGCCGAAGGGUGUGUCAGGUCGAGGAGGGACCUGGGGCAGAGAUGGUGAGCAUGGCCUGGAUGGACAGCCAGGGCCACCGGGAUUGCCUGGGCUUCAGGGUCCUACAGGCUAUAAGGGAGAGAAUGCUCCUCCAGGGGAGAGAGGAGAUGAGGUGAGAAUACCAGUGUAAGGUACACUACAUGUCUGUAUGGCAAAAUGCCAGAUUAGUGCAGGGAAUGGCUGUCAAACAAGCACCCUUCUCCAAACUGUGCCUAUGGUCAGAUCUCACAGUUCAUACACUAUACCGAGUCAGUGGAAACAACCAGCAUGACUGUAGGUCCAGGAGCUUUUCCUGACCACAGAACCUGGAAAACCAUCAGACAGGCUCUAGUAAUAAGCAGUCAUCAUCUAGAGUCUGUUAGUUACUGUGAUCUAUUCCCCUUUUAUGAUGAUGACCGAUUCCACAUUUGUGUGUGAAGCUGCCUGGAUCCCAAACAUGCCACCAGUCACCAGCUGGUGGCAUUAGGGGACACCACAAACCCCAUGGUUAUACAUGUUGGUUUAUAGCAGGGGUCUUCAACCCUGUUCCUGGAGAGCUGGCCUCUUGUAGGUUUUCACUCCAAACCGAGUUGUAACUAAACUGGUUCAGUUUAUCAACCAGAUAAUUAUAAGGACUAGGUGUUCUAGAUUAGGGUUGCAGAGAAAACCUACAGGACGGUAGCUCUCCAGGAAAAGGGCUGAAGAGCCCUGGUUUAUAGUAACAUCACUGGCAUGUCUCCUGUGUCUCUCUCCUCACUGAACUACAGGGUUUCACUGGCAAGACAGGUCCAUGUGGAGACAGAGGGAAGACUGGAGAGAAGGUAACUUUUUAAAUAUCAAAAUUGCUACUCUUUAAACCUUUUUUAUUCUUAAAGUGGGAAGUAGGCUGAUGUUGUUCUGCACAUGUCCACAAAGUGUUAUUGCACUGCUCUCUAGUGGAUGGAAACAUCAAUGGCUGCUUUGCUCAACACCAGACCUGGUUUCUUUUCAACUCAUCCAAGCCUGUUUGGAACAUGCUUGUAUUUUUUUUGCACUUUCACUAUCAAGGGCACACUUAGAAUAUUUGUAUAUAUUAUAUUAAAUAUAUUAAUUCACUUUUCACGAUCAUGAUCAUCUGUAGCCUAUGCUUAUUAAUGUAGUUUUCCCCAAGUGUAGACAUAUUUCUUGCUAUGUUCUCCAGGGUUCUAAAGGAGAGCCAGGGGAACCAGGUUCUGUUGGCCCACUUGUGAGUAGAACACUUUUAUCCUCUGGCCCUAAUUCAGCUCUCAAAUGCUGAUAAGUGCUGAUGUUUUGACUGUACUGUGGGUAAUACAGAUGUGGUUUAUUAAGCUUGUGCAUCAUACAAUAACUAUUUUAAUUUCAGGGGCCGGUUGGUAAAAGAGGAGUCCAAGGAUUUUCAGGGUCACUUGGGCCUCAGGUAAGACUUUGAAUAACAAUCAAUAAUCCUAAUGGAAUACAACUGUGUUACAAUCCAUGCAGCCACACUAUUUGAUGGUGGGGUGUUCUAGAUCAGUGGUUUCCAACUCCAGUCCUCCAGUACCCUCAACAGCACACAUGUUUGUUGUUGCUCUGAACAAAAAACAACUGGUGCAGGUGUCCCUAUCUCUUCUGUUUUUCAGGGUGAUUCUGGGUAUGAUGGCGCCCAAGGUCCAUUUGGGCCA
rnacentral:lncRNA from 1 species